rnacentral:pre_miRNA from 1 species
GGGGGGUAGGGGGAGUCCCUCAGCCUGGAUUGUGAGAGGGUGCAGGCCAGGCUGAGGGACCUCACCAGUGCACA